rnacentral:lncRNA from 1 species
GACUCCUGGGUUCUCUCCUGGGCGAGGCAGCCCUGUGGGGCACCCAGCCUGAUCCUGUUCUCCACAGUGCUGCUCCCUGCGGGGGGGCACGGAGCCCCUGGCCCCCGACACGGCCCUGCAGAGCCUUGCAUUGGCGGCCUGCGACUCGCACCAGCUGAUGGCGGCCUUUGGGCAGGUGUAUGAGACGGAGCUGCGGGAACACUGCGGCCGUGGCCCCGCCCCACGGCUCAGCCCCUGUGGGCCCCUGGCCCAGCACCUGCACCAGGCGCUCACCCUCUGCACCCAGGAGCUGCUGGCGCUGGCCCAGCUGAGCGACACCUCAGAGCAGGCGGUGCAGACGGCGGAGCGGAGACGCGGCGAGGAAGGCAGCAGCCCCACAGCAACACUGCCCGUGAAGAUGGAGGAGCUGCGCCGGCGCUACCAGGCCCGCUUGGCCGCUGCUGGGGGGCUGUCGGGGUAACCCCAGGACCGGGCCGGGGGAGGGGAGAAGGGUGGGGGGGCUCCAGGGCCCCCAUCUCACAAGGGAGCUGCUGUCCCGUUGUUCCUGGGAUAAUAAAAGAG